rnacentral:lncRNA from 1 species
AGAGUUCCAAGGAGAUCGAUCCCCUAAAGAUAUCAACCCCAAGUUUAGAAUCUACAAGGGUUCUAUCACUUGGUAUCAAAGCAGCGUUCUUGGCGUCUCGCUGCCCUUCCACAGCCAUCCAUCAACCCUCCACAGUCGCCCAAAGCAAUUCCCACAAUUGCUUAAAAGAUCGUCGUCAAAUUUCGUCGUCAUCUCUACCACCGCAGAUCAUCUUUUGAUCUCCCCGUGAAUUACAACAGGUUUUGGUUUCCUACCUUACUGCUGCUGUAAUUUAAUUAUCCUUAUUCGAAAAUCCAAAAAAAAAAAUUUGUUCCAAAAUUACUGCAUAAACUUUUCGUCGCAAAGUUUUCAUCUCUACGACAAAAGAUACAUUGCAAAAUUCCAACCGCAUAACAUAGAUUAUUUGAUCUUGCUACUACGUUUUUUCUAUCCAAAUCUCUACGAAAUUUUUAUGACAGCUUUGACACUUCAUAACAGUAGAUUUCCCUUUGGUUUUGUCAAAAAAUUCUCAAUAUAAACCAUUGAUCUUUUACGUCUAAUCUGUUAUACUUGAAAAUCUGUACUGUAAAAUUUCAGCCGCAUAACACUGCUUGUUUGAUCUUGAUACUACAUUUUUUUUAUCCAAAUCUCUACGAAAUUUUUAUGAUAGCUUUGACACUUCUUAACAGUGGAUUUUCCUUUAGUUUCGUCGAAAAAUUCUUAAUAUAAACUACUGAUCUUUUACGUCCAAUCUGCUACACUUAAAAAUCUGUGAUGCAGAAAAUUUCAGCCGUAUAUUGUUGCCUUAACCUAUCUAUUUGCAAUCUUUUUUGAAUAAAAUUUCUUAUACACUUCAUAGAUCAUCUUGGCUUCCAUCUAAGAUUGAUCUAUUGAGGAAUUCAUCUCUAAAAACGAUUUUGUGUUGUCGUAAAUUUUCGUCGUAAACUGCUGAAAUUUUUCGACGAGAAUUCUGCUAUCACAACUUGCACUAAUUUUCUUGCUGUUACUACCAAUACAAUAGGCGAACCUACCAACAGAAGAUGCCACUUGGGAGAACUAUGACGACUUGAAGAUCAAAUUUCCAGAAUUCAUAAAUCGUCAACCUUGAGGACAAGACUGAUUUGAAGAGGUCGGGUCUGUUAGGACUUUAGCUAGGAGAGUCCUAANNNNNNNNNNNNNNNNNNNNUUAGAGAAGAAUUAGGAGUUGUAAAGGAAUAGGAGUUUUGAGUAGGAGUCCUAUUAGGAGUUAGUUAGAAGUAGGAGUCUUGAGUAUGAGUCCUAUUAGGAGUUAGGGUUUAGAAGCCUUAUAAAUAGUCAUGUAUUCCUCCUCUUUUCAUAAGCAAUAGAUGAAUCUUUUCUGUAGCCUUUAAGCAGCAACUCGGAGGGAGGAACCCUUAUAGAGUUCCAAGGAUGCCGAUCCCCUAAAGAGAUCAACCCAAAGUUUAGAAUCUGCAAGGGUUCUAUCAGUUCUCUUCUUUUCUCUUUAAUUUUCUCCCUUAAUUUCAGUUAAAAGUAUCAGAACUCGUAAUUCACAUAUAAGAUCAUUAUGAUGAUUUCGCUGUUAUUAACACUGUAAUUCCCGCAGUUGUAUGAAAAGUAGAGAUUUGAAUUAAAGCCCCAUUGAUUCCUCCUCUCUGAGAGGAUCCAGCCUUUUAUUGACUUCAUAUCACAAUCAAUUAAUUUGAACAAGCAUCGGAAGCUAGAUCUGCCUCAAGUCUCGUUUCCUAUGAUCAUGAGUCGGUUUCAAAAGGCAUUUUCAGGGAUUUUCGUGUAUUUGAAUAUUAAAUUAGGUUCUUUGUGUUUAUUUUGGAGUUGGAGCACGUGAAACUUCUGUAUCUGUUACUAAAUUUGAUAAAUUUCAAGUUAGAUAAAAAUUCCUUGUAUUGAAUCUAACUGCUUGAAACUGAUCCUGAUACUCAAUUGUAUAGCCUGAUUUGGGGGACAUAUGAAUUGUUCCUGGAUAUAUAUCUCUAUUCCCUUAUAAUCACAUUCAAUUGGAUUUUAUACAGAGUCAUGGUGCAGAAGAUCACAUAUUUUCAUAACUUUUCUUUUUCUUGUUUAUAUUAUCUUAACAUGUUAAUUGUGGCAAUUGAGUGGCUUCUCUUUGAUUUUAUCUUUGGAGUUCAUAUCUGAAUGCGAACAUAUGUUUUGUAUUCAUCAGAUUGAAGUUAGUGCACUCAUAUAAACUAAAUUUGAACAGAUUUUUCUUACAGUACACAAGAACUUGAUUGAUUAUGUAGAUAGUGAUGAUUUUUUGAUUAAUUUUUACAUGGCUAUUCCAUUACAACAUUGAUAUUGGAAGGUGCAGAAGAACUGCAGUUUGAUGUGGGGCUAUAAACUUUGGCAAUAUAGCUCUUCAAGUUUAUAGUGGUCUGAAGUUGAAGGAAAAUGUCAAGAGCAAAUACACACUGGUGUUACAUUUGCAGGCAAACAGUUCUGCCACUCGGAAGGGACAUGAUCUGUCCCAACUGUGACAGAGGCUUUGUGCAAGAUUUGAAUGAGCUAGAUGGCAGCAUGAACACUUUUGAUUACUUUGGAGUGGAUUAUAGAGGCAACCGUAAUGACCAGUUUGGAAUUAUUGAUGCCUUGUCUGCCUUGAUUAGGCAACAAAUGGAAGGAAGAAGCCACGAGUUUGAUUUACAUGGUAGACCCAGUGUUCCCAUGGAGAAUGGAUUGGGAUUUGGACUUGAGCGAUUGCUGCUUUUGCCUUGGCAGCUUCCUGUUAAUAUAACCGAGAACAGAGGGAUUGAGAUUAUUUUCAAUGGCGGUGCUGGAGUUGGGAUGAGACAUGCGAACAUAGGGAACUAUGCUCGUGGAUCUGGAUUCAAUGACCUCAUCGAACAGCUUAUCAGAAAUGAUGGCCAUGGCCCACCACCUGCUUCACAAUCAGCCAUUGAUGCAAUGCCCACUGUCAAGAUAAACCAGAGACAUCUUCGAGGUGAUUCACACUGUCCAGUUUGCAAAGAAAAAUUUGAGUUGGGUACUGAAGCACGGGAACUGCCAUGUAAGCAUUUAUAUCACUCAGACUGCAUUAUUCCUUGGUUAGUCCGACACAAUUCUUGCCCAGUUUGUCGCCAUAGGUUGCCAUCUCAGGAAUCCAGUCAAAAUAACCAUGUGCGAAGUAGAAAUCAGUAUCUUGGUGGUGGUACAAGAAGUAAUGGUAAUGGUAAUAGCGAAAAUGGUGAAAGCCAAGCUAGGAGAAAUCUUUUCUCCUUUCUAUGGCCAUAUUAUACUUCAAACACUGCUAACUCUAGCUCAAAUGAGUCAAGUAGGAGUAGUUCCACUGCCGUGCAUGAAGAUAUCAACCAGAUGCAUUAUACUGGAUGGCCCUUUGAUUAUUAAGAUCUUACCUAAAUAUUUAGUUGUUAUCACUGAACUCGUUCUAGAUCUUGUUUUUUUUUUUCUUUUAUCAUCUUUCGACCCCUUAUGUAGUGUGUUUGUGGCUUAUACUUUUGUGAAUGGCUCUAUUAUGAAUUAAUGU